rnacentral:rRNA from 1 species
AGUGAACGCUGGCGGUAGGCCUGACACAUGCAAGUCGAACGGCAGCACAGUAAGAGCUUGCUCUUACGGGUGGCGAGUGGCGGACGGGUGAGGAAUACAUCGGAAUCUACUUUUUCGUGGGGGAUAACGUAGGGAAACUUACGCUAAUACCGCAUACGACCUACGGGUGAAAGCAGGGGAUCUUCGGACCUUGCGCGAUUGAAUGAGCCGAUGUCGGAUUAGCUAGUUGGCGGGGUAAAGGCCCACCAAGGCGACGAUCCGUAGCUGGUCUGAGAGGAUGAUCAGCCACACUGGAAGUGAGACACGGUCCAGACUCCUGCGGGAGGCAGCAGUGGGGAAUAUUGGACAAUGGGCGCAAGCCUGAUCCAGCCAUACCGCGUGGGUGAAGAAGGCCUUCGGGUUGUAAAGCCCUUUUGUUGGGAAAGAAAAGCAGCAGGUUAAUACCACGCUGUUCUGACGGUACCCAAAGAAUAAGCACCGGCUAACUUCGUG